rnacentral:rRNA from 1 species
UACUAGAGUAGCACUCGCAUAUCAAUAAGCGGAGGAAAAGAAACUAACAAGGAUUCCCUAGUAACGGCGAGUGAAGCGGGAAGAGCUCAAAUUUGAAAUCUUCAAGGGUUUCCCUUGACGAAUUGUAGUUUAAAGAAGUGUUUUCUGUUAGAGAGGUGGUAAAAGUUCUUUGGAAUAGGACAUCAUAGAGGGUGAGAAUCCCGUAUUUGAUCACUUUCUACUAACGUUGUGAUACACUUUCAAAGAGUCGGAUUGUUUGGGAAUGCAGUCCAAAAUGGGUGGUAAAUUUCAUCUAAAGCUAAAUAUUGGCGAGAGACCGAUAGCGAACAAGUACCGUGAGGGAAAGAUGAAAAGAACUUUGAAAAGAGAGUUAAACAGUACGUGAAAUUGUCAAAAGGGAAGCGUUUGACACCAGUGUUGUUUUUCCGAAAAUCAAUUAUGAAUGGCUUGAUUUUAAGUUUCAUGACCUUAAAAGCUUGUUUCUUAUUUUUCAUGUCUUUCGUAAUGCACUUUUCGGUUAACAAGUCAACAUCAAUUUCUUUUGUUGUAAAAGGUUAAGAGGAAGGUGGCUUUACUUUCGGGUAAAGUGUUUAUAGCCUUUUAACUCUGCAAUCGGAGAGAUUGAGGUCUGCAGCGUAGAUCCUUCGGGGUUAGAUACAUUUGUGCUAAGUUAUAGCUUUUCAUAGACAACUUGUUGACUAUGUUAAGUCUUGUAAUUUACUCGCAGAUGCUAUUUUACCUACGCUUAGGAUGUUGAAGAUAUGCGCGACAC